AAAUUGAUGAAUUAUAACAGAUCUAGGUAGAAUUUAUCCACCCCCAUCCCUACCCCCUUUUUGGGUAGAUAACAGAAAUGUGCAAUUCACUGUACUAUGGAGACUGGAAGGUCUACUACAUUUAUUGCUGUGCCAGUUCUCCUUAUAAGUUGUUGUUGCUGCUUUUGUUUUAUUUAUUCUGUCUAUGGGUGUGUUUGUUUUCUGUUUGUUUUUCUGUCUUUCUAGGUAGCCUUAGCUGGCCUGAUACUUGCUAUGUAAUCCAAAUUGGCUUUGAACUCCUAGCAAUCCUCCUGAGUUAACUCUCCGUGUGCUGGGAUUACAGGCUCUGACAAAAUGCCUGGGAGAAACAACUUAAGAGAAAAGGGUCUAUUUUGGCUCAUGUCAAAGGAUCCCAACUACGAUGGUGAGGCAGAUAUUGUGGUAGAAGUGGCUGAGUUAAGUUCUUAGUCUGUGUUGAUGUGAGUACCAAGCAGAUGGUCACUUCAUGAGGAGAAAACAGGGAGCUAGACUGGAUCCAGCGGUAUGUAUGGGAAGCUGCUUCUGUUUGCAAGGCCACAUAUUCCUAGUUCACAGCCUCAUACAACAGUGCCACAAGCUGGUGAGUUUUCAAAUACGUGCACUCCCAGGAACAUAAUAUAUGGAAAUAAUCUUGCAUCUCCUCACUGGUAAUCUUUGUCCGGGUGAACUGGAAGGGUCCUUAGAGUAGGAGUGAGCUGGAUUGCUAAACAGAGUUCCAUUAUUCUCCUAUCAGAUCAAUAAAUUUUCACUUGUUCUGAGGUACUAUUUAUGGAUUAGUAAAAUACCCACAAUAACAUCUACAGACAGAAAGGUAUAGGCCUCUAGUUCCCAUUCUUGACCUGAAUCCCUUUUCUAGUUGGGAAUUUCUUGCUUCUCUUUUUAUUUUUUUUUCACCUGAUCAAGUUACAAGAAUUAGAUGAUAUAUAUAGAUACACAUACAUACAUACAUAUAUAUAUUAGAUAUAAUUCGCCUAUAUUUCAGCUAGAAGAUAACUUUUGGAGAAAAACAAUUUUUUUUCUGCUUAGUUGUGAGAAAAUGCCAGCAACAUAAAUUUCAGACCUCACAAAUAAGAACCAAUUUUUCUUUCAAUAGAAAUGAGCGGAGUGUUCGAGUAGAGAAUUGUCACUAUCAAUACUUGCCCAAAAGACUGAAUGGUCAUUAUCUAUUCCCAAGUUGUGAUAGAUAUGAAACAAGCAAUACCAUAAUGUUUUGCUUUCCUCCCUCUCACAGGGAAGGAGCAAGGGGCUUUGAGGGAGCCUUCUGAGAGGAGGAAGACCAUACUUAAUGCUAAUAACACGGGGAAGACGGAGACUGGGGAUUGCAGUACAGAGUUUUGAGUUUCCAAAAAAUUUUUGAUAAUGAUCCUGUUCUAGGGAUUUGAUGAGCGACAAACAUAAAAAUUUUAAAGUGAUCCAGAAACCUUUAAAACGAGAUCUAUCAUAUGACAAAUGCUCAUAAAUAGCAUGAGGAUUAGAUAAAAGAGGUUACUGACUUCCUCAAGGUGCCCAGAAAAUAACUGACAGCAUCCCAAGAACACAGUCCUUACUGUCCAGUACAAGCUCCUCUUCACUGUCCCAAGCCACACAUGUACUCUGAGCACACGUGUUAAUGAGACUCGUAUUGUGUAGUAAUUCUACUCUGAAGUUUGUUGCUUUGGCCUAUGGAUAGAUUGAGAACCUUCGAAGCAAUUAGCACCAAUGAUUGUUAGAAUGAGAGGAGCAAGGUUAGUGAUCUGCUCUAAAGAAGCAAGUGGCACCAUGCUGUGUGAGCUGACCAUUAGUCAGCAUCACUUUAACCCAGGAAAGCCUGCUGCUGAAGUGGCCUAAGGUGAUGAAUCACAAGGAGCAUCUUGCUCUUGACUUGGCUGCCAUUAAAGUGAUGCCAAGCACCACAUAACCAACUGAAAGGCGUCAAGGGGUUGGCAAGCCACUUGCACAACAGAGUUUGAUGUUAAGCAUCUGGGAGUUUCCAGCAUAUGAAGGAUACAUGGGGGUUCCGAAAUUACCUACAUCACUGAGCACUGUACAGCUGUCACUUAAUAUUUAAACUGGAUGAGAAAUCACAAAAACUCUGGUUUCUCAAAAGCAGAACUACAAGCUGUCAAAGUUGUUGGGUCCUUGGAGGCUAUCCCAACUUAAUUACUUAUUUCACAAAUGGAGAAACGUGCCAUUAUUCAUGUGGGCAGAAGAAAGAAUACGGAGCUAGAAUCCUUCCUGGGUAUCUUGUUUUAGGGGAUUAUAGACAUAGACUCUUAAGGAACACCAUCUGUGCAAGAGGCACAGCGCACUGACUAAAUGCAUGCUGAGAGUCUCCUGGUUAAAUCCACCCUCUUCCUGUUUCACUUCACAUGCAGAUGCUGGAAAGGGUAGGGACCUAAUGAGAGGCAGCAGUCAGCCCCUCCCAGCUGUUCUUGCUCUAACCACAUCCUGGUCAGGUGCCAUUAUUCCCUGGCUCCCCUGACUUAUUCUUCACACUGUCCUCACUGAUGAUGGCUUUCCUAAAGCACUGUUGCCCUUCCAAAAACACUCCAACAAGGCAAUUUAUAGCUGACCUAUGUUUUUCUAAUAAUGUUUUCUCUCCUCUCUUCAUCCUGGAAAUCCACGUGUCUCAGUUGCUCUCAAUCACUGCCACGAGUCUGGUGAUGCGCUAAGCUCGGGGCAGGAUCUCAAGGGCUUUGAGGAUGUCUGCAUCAUCUGUAUUGACCUGCUCCCCAGAUUAAUACCGAAGCACUGCAAUUUCUUGAGGAUUAUCCACCUAGGAGGAAAUGAUACGCUGGCCCAUCCAUAGUAGUCAAGGGAACCACCAUCUCAGAUGGUAGAAACCACUCAGAAGGAUCAACUGCUGCAGACGGGAAGAGGAGCAACCUCGUGAAUAAUUUCGUGACAGGAUAUUGCAGGAGGGACUUUGUCCAAAUGUGUGCAGGGUAGUUGGCUACAGCAACAAGGAUGACGAACACAGAUGAAUUGAUCAGGAUGUAACCAUUCAAAGUUGAGAGGAUUAGAGGACUUCUCCGAGGCGGCUCCAAUGGAUGCCAGCAGAGUUAAAGUGUCCAAUGGAGAGAAGAGAAGGCUUGGGAAAUCCAGAGUCCAUUCAUUCAUCGCCCUCCUCCUAGAACAACAAAAGCGAGCCCCAGUACUCAUCAGCAUGGACUCUGUGUGUAGUCAUCUCCCUUAGUUUCAGAGGUUCCUGCCUACAGCAAAACUUUAGAGGCUUAGAGUUUAACGGUCAUAGCUUAUUCACCUCCAACUGUGUCCUAGUUCAAGAGAAACACUUCACAUAUCUGUAGGGAGAAGAUAAUGAACCAAGGAUACAAGUUAAGCCUUAGCUAAGACCUGUUACUCAGGAAAAAGAGCUAAAACAAGCUGCUUAGAUCAGCACCAAUGUUAGGUAGAGAGAAAAAGAAACGCUGCAUAGAAAUCUUAAGGUUCACAUGUGCUCCAGGCUGGGUCAACAACUUCUAAUUUCCUUUGCCAACCAACCAUGUCUUUGACAGAAAUGAUCCUUCUACAUAGACCACAGAGGGAUCCAAUGGAGGUUUCUCUUCCUGAAUUUGGGGAUUCAGAAUCUGGACAAAUUCCUUUCCAUCAAAGUCCAGUACAAAAGUAGUACCAUGGCAGUCCCUGCAGGGACUUGCAUCACUUUCCCUAGAGAUAUCAAGAGAAUUUUUAGUGAUAAGAAUAUGGCACAAAAUGAGAAAUCCCAUUACUCUUAAGAGAAUCUCUUCCUUCUCAAAGGCACCUGAUUAAUACAUAUAGUACUAUCAGUAAGGCUGAGCAAAAGGAUACUGAUGUUCUGAGUGAUCUUAAAUCAUGUAAUAAUAACUUUAUUCGUAGUAUAGAACGGAAUAUUCCCUAUUAGUAAUCAGUUCCUUUGCCAGAUCCUCAUAGUAUCUUAGUCACUGUUUUAUUGUUAUGAAGAGAAACUUUGACCACAGCACCUCUUAGAAAAAAGGAAGCAUUUAAUCGGGACUUCCUUAUGGUUUCACAGUUUUACAUAAUUGUCAACAUGGCAGAGAACAUGGGGGCACGCAAACAGACAUGGUGCUGGAGAAGUAGCGGAGAAUAUACAGCAACAUAUAGAUACAAAAUAUAGAUACAUAUAGAUACAGAAUAUAGAUACAUAUAGCUACAUAUAGAUCUGCAGGCAGCAGGAAGAGACUGGGACAAGGCCAUACCUUCUAAGGCUUCUCAAGGAGUGUCACUUCCUGAUGACCAAGCAUUCAAGUGUAUGAGCUUAUGGGAGCCAUUCUUAUUCAAGCCACCACACAUAGCAAAGCUGAUAAUGUCAUUUUCUGAAUUAACCAGGCCAAGGCACACUUCUUAGCAACAUGGUUACCUGGUAACCAGAGAUUUUUCUCAUCCCAUGAGAGAUUUCAUUCAAGAACUGAUCUUCUAACAGUUUUGUCUCUCUUAAGAAUGCUACAGACAGGGUGGGGUGAGGCACAGUGCUGAAGCCCCUCAAGUUUCCCAGAGGGAUGAGUCCAUGAAAGACGAAAAUCAUGUGGUCACACUGAGCAUAGACUUCACAAGCAUCAUGCUAGGAUUCCAUUUUCUUUCUCAACACAAUGAUAAAUUCUUCUUCCAAUAAGCAGAAAAUCAUCCAAUGGGAAAAAAAAAUAAAACCAACUAACUUGCAGUCCUUUGGAACAGUUUCAUAGCUUACAGGAUGGCUUCAUAACCCUGGGGACACUCGUUUUGACAUGAAAACUUCCUUCAGAACAGGAAUUCUGAUCCAACAUGUGCUCAGACAUCAUUUCAGUCACUUGCAAAUGAACAAGAAAGCUCAUGUAAAUGAGGAGGCUCAACUCCCAGGCCUGGUGAGUGGGUAAGACAUUCCUCUGCUGGGUUUUGAAGGCUGUCUGAAACCAUCGGCUGACAUCCUUCUCUGUGUGCAUGUAUGCACUAUCUACGGGAAAUUCAGCUCCAACCGGUUGUCUCUACAGCUCCCUUAAUCUUCUCCUCCCUCCUCCUGGCAUUGGCAUGUGUCCCAGGACUGCAGCGAGGAGUGCUUACCAACAAAGGUGCUGGCAUCUGCAUUUGUUUCACAGCCACAAACCUAAUGGUUCCAUGAUUUUGGCGAGCAAAACUGUCAAAAUGCCUGAGCACAAGAGAUCACAAGAUGAGCCAAGGCAUAGUGUGCAUGCCUUCCUUCCCAGCACUCGGAAGGCAGAGGCAAGGGGAUCUCUGUGGGUUCAAGGCCAGCCUGAAUCACAAGGUGUACUGGGGAUUCUUUUUUAUUGUUUUCCUUUUGCUAUCUGGAAUAGUUUGAGAUUGUAUUUGAUCAGUGCAUUAAACAAC
rnacentral:lncRNA from 1 species